UGUCAUUAGAUAUCCGUUAAUAAUGAUACAUCCUGCCCGGUGACUUGUUAGUUAAACGGCCGCGGUACCCUGACCGUGCAAAGGUAGCAUAAUCAUUUGCCUAUUAAUUGUAGGCUAGUAUGAAAGGACACACGCGAGUAAGACUGUCUCUAUUAAGCAACUAAAACUUUAUCUUUGAGUGAAGAAGCUCAAAUACUUUCGCAGGACAAGAAGACCCUAUAGAGCUUUACCUUACAUAUUUCACCAAAAAAUAUAUUACGGUUCGGUUGGGGCGACCGGGGUAUAAUAAACAACCCCAACUCUAUUCGACCUCCAAGUCUUUUAAGGAUCCUUAAUUAAGAUCAACGAAUCAAGCUACCUUAGGGAUAACAGGCUAAUCCUCUUUAAGAGCCCAUAUUAACAAGAGGGGUUGGCACCUCGAUGUUGGCUUAGGACCCCUAUAUGAUGCAGCAGUCAUAAUAGUUGGUUUGUUCAACCAUUUAAAUCCU
rnacentral:rRNA from 1 species